UACGGGGGGGGCAAGCGUUGUUCGGAAUUACUGGGCGUAAAGGGCUCGUAGGUGGCCAACUAAGUCAGACGUGAAAUCCCUCGGCUUAACCGGGGAACUGCAUCUGAUACUGGAUGGCUUGAGAUUGGGAGAGGGAUGCGGAAUUCCAGGUGUAGCGGUGAAAUGCGUAGAUAUCUGGAGGAACACCGGUGGCGAAGGCGGCUCUCUGGGCCUUACCUGACGCUGAGGAGCGAAAGCGUGGGUAGCGAACAGG
rnacentral:rRNA from 1 species